rnacentral:rRNA from 1 species
AAGUGAGAAUGCCGGUGUGAGUAGCGAAAGACGGGUGAGAAUCCCGUCCACCGAUUGACUAAGGUUUCCAGAGGAAGGCUCGUCCGCUCUGGGUUAGUCGGGUCCUAAGCUGAGGCCGACAGGCGUAGGCGAUGGAUAACAGGUUGAUAUUCCUGUACCACCUAUAAUCGUUUUAAUCGAUGGGGGGACGCAGUAGGAUAGGCGAAGCGUGCGAUUGGAUUGCACGUCUAAGCAGUAAGGCUGAGUAUUAGGCAAAUCCGGUACUCGUUAAGGCUGAGCUGUGAUGGGGAGAAGACAUUGUGUCUUCGAGUCGUUGAUUUCACACUGCCGAGAAAAGCCUCUAGAUAGAAAAUAGGUGCCCGUACCGCAAACCGACACAGGUAGUCAAGAUGAGAAUUCUAAGGUGAGCGAGCGAACUCUCGUUAAGGAACUCGGCAAAAUGACCCCGUAACUUCGGGAGAAGGGGUGCUCUUUAGGGUUAACGCCCAGAAGAGCCGCAGUGAAUAGGCCCAAGCGACUGUUUAUCAAAAACACAGGUCUCUGCUAAACCGUAAGGUGAUGUAUAGGGGCUGACGCCUGCCCGGUGCUGGAAGGUUAAGAGGAGUGGUUAGCUUCUGCGAAGCUACGAAUCGAAGCCCCAGUAAACGGCGGCCGUAACUAUAACGGUCCUAAGGUAGCGAAAUUCCUUGUCGGGUAAGUUCCGACCCGCACGAAAGGCGUAACGAUUUGGGCACUGUCUCAACGAGAGACUCGGUGAAAUCAUAGUACCUGUGAAGAUGC